GGGCCGGUAGCUUAGUCUGGCUAGAGCGUUUGUGGCUAUAGCACCUGUCUUAUAAGGCAACUAGGCGUAAAAGCAGGGGGUCGAGGGUUCAAAUCCCUCCCGGCCCA
rnacentral:tRNA from 1 species